GUCAAUUUCUAUUCUACCCAUGGAUUUUUUUCCAUUGCUUUAGGUAUAAAUAUACAAAAACUCGGAAAAGGUGGAAUUUAUUGAUGUAUUACUAGAGUUAUGGCAGUGACAGCCUGUCAUAUGCUUUGGAAAGAAAGUCAUUAGCCAAAUGGAAAUUUAGGUCAGCUAACAUUUCUGAAUGAUAUUUAAGGGAUCACUGAAAUUAUUGAAAAUAUGCUUCAUAUUUCAUCAUGCAAAUGUCAAACUCGAUUCCUCAUUCAUUUAUUUACAGUCUUGUUCCCAGACUUACCUGAAUAUAUAACCAGUGAAGAUCUCUCAUUUAAUAAAGCUUCCCUCCCCCACAAUUCUGAUUCUCGACAAUUGAGAUUUAAGAGGCACAAAUGGAAGCGCACAAAUCACAAAACUUACCCAGAUUCCUGAAUUCAAACUUGGGUCCAUAACUCAGGCCUUAAAGAUAUUUUAUAGUCUCUCAACUUUUAUCUGUUUA
rnacentral:lncRNA from 1 species